CUCCGAUAAAAGUAAACCCACCGCAAGGUGGGGGCACAAAGCCAACGGGUCCUUAAAAGGAUGGCUGGGUUGCCGGA
rfam:Candidatus Schekmanbacteria bacterium GWA2_38_11 gwa2_scaffold_8246, whole genome shotgun sequence.